GUCUUUAUAGUUUAGGGGUAAAACAUAGUACUGUUAAUACUAAUAGAUCAGUUCGAAUCUGAUUAGAGACU
rnacentral:tRNA from 1 species